rnacentral:rRNA from 1 species
GAUGAACGCUAGCGGGAGGCUUAACACAUGCAAGUCGAGGGGCAGCAUAGGGUAGCAAUACUCUGAUGGCGACCGGCAAACGGGUGAGUAACGCGUAUGCAACCUACCCUGUACAGGGGGAUAACCCGGAGAAAUUCGGACUAAUAUCCCGUAAUAAUAUCCGGAGGCAUCUUUGGAUAUUUAAAGUUCCGACGGUACGGGAUGGGCAUGCGUAACAUUAGCUGGUUGGUAAGGUAACGGCUUACCAAGGCUAUGAUGUUUAGGGGUCCUGAGAGGGUGGUCCCCCACACUGGUACUGAGACACGGACCAGACUCCUACGGGAGGCAGCAGUGAGGAAUAUUGGUCAAUGGGCGCAAGCCUGAACCAGCCAUCCCGCGUGCCAGGAAGACGGCCCUAUGGGUUGUAAACUGCUUUUCCAGGGAGAGAAACUUACGCACGUGUUGCGUGACUGACGGUACCCUGGGAAUAAGCAUCGGCUAACUCCGUGCCAGCAGCCGCGGUAAAACGUCUA